rnacentral:rRNA from 1 species
CCUACGGGUGGCUGCAGUGAGGAAUAUUGGUCAAUGGACGGAAGUCUGAACCAGCCAUGCCGCGUGCAGGAAGACGGCUCUAUGAGUUGUAAACUGCUUUUAUAAGCGAGAAAUAUGAUGGUAACUUAUGAAUAAGGAUCGGCUAACUACGUGCCAGCAGCCGCGGUCAUACGUAGGAUCCGAGCAUUAUCCGGAGUGACUGGGUGUAAAGAGUUGCGUAGGUGGCAUAAUAAGUAGCUAGUGAAAUCUGGUGGCUCAACCAUUCAGACUAUUAGCUAAACUGUUAAGCUCGAGACCGUUAGGGGUAACUGGAAUUUCUAGUGUAGGAGUGAAAUCCGUAGAUAUUAGAAGGAACACCAAUAGCGUAGGCAGGUUACUGGGACGGUUCUGACACUAAGGCACGAAAGCGUAGGGAGCAAACGGGAUUAGAUACCCCAGUAGUC